CAAUAGCGUAUAUUAAAGUUGUUGCAGUUAAAAAGCUCGUAGUUGGAUUUCGGGGUGGCCUGCCUGGUCCACCGCAAGGUGAGUACUGGUCAGCCGCCCUUCCUCUCGAAAGCCCCGACUGCUCUUCAUUGCAGUGGUCGGGUAGUUCGGGACGUUUACUUUGAAAAAAUUAGAGUGUUCAAGGCAGGCUAUCGCCUGAAUACAUUAGCAUGGAAUAAUGGAAGAGGACCUCGGUCCUAUUUUGUUGGUUUCUAGGGCCGAAGUAAUGAUUAAGAGGGACAGUUGGGGGCAUCCGUAUUUAAUUGUCAGAGGUGAAAUUCUUGGAUUUAUGAAAGACGAACUAGUGCGAAAGCAUUUGCCAAGGAUGUUUUCAUUAA
rnacentral:rRNA from 1 species